UACGUAGGUGGCAAGCGUUUGUCCGGAAUUAUUGGGCGUAAAGCGCGCGCAGGCGGUCCUUUAAGUCUGAUGUGAAAGCCCACGGCUCAACCGUGGAGGGUCAUUGGAAACUGGGGACUUGAGUACAGAAGAGAAGAGUGGAAUUCCACGUGUAGCGGUGAAAUGCGUAGAGAUGUGGAGGAACACCAGUGGCGAAGGCGACUCUUUGGUCUGUAACUGACGCUGAGGCGCGAAAGCGUGGGGAGCAAACAGG
rnacentral:rRNA from 1 species